GAUGAAGAACGCAGCGAAAUGCGAUAAGUAAUGCGAAUUGCAGAAUUCAGUGAAUCAUCGAAUCUUUGAACGCACAUUGCGCCCGCCAGUAUUCUGGCGGGCAUGCCUGUCCGAGCGUCAUUUCAACCAUCAAGCCCCGGGCUUGUGUUGGGGACCUGCGUCCGACGCAGGCCCUGAAAACCAGUGGCGGGCUCGCUGUCCACACCGAGCGUAGUAACUAACCUCGCUAUGGAGUGGCGCGGGCGCCUGCCGUAAAACCCCCAAUUUCACAAGGUUGACCUCGGAUCAGGUAGGAAUACCCGCUGAACUUAAGCAUAUCAAUAAGCGGAGGA
rnacentral:misc_RNA from 1 species